CUAGCGCAGCAGUGGGGGAUAUUGCACAAUGGGGGGAACCCUGAUGCAGCGACGCCGCGUGGGCGAUGGAGUACUUCGGUAUGUAAAGCCCUAUCAGCAGGGAAGAAAAUGACGGUACCUGACUAAGAAGCCCCGGCUAAAUACGUGCCAGCAGCCGCGGUAAUACGUAUGGGGCAAGCGUUAUCCGGAUUUACUGGGUGUAAAGGGAGCGUAGGCGGCCUGGCAAGCCUGAUGUGAAAUACCGGGGCCCAACCCCGGGGCUGCAUUGGGAACUGCCAGGCUGGAGUGCCGGAGAGGCAGGCGGG
rnacentral:rRNA from 1 species